rnacentral:lncRNA from 1 species
CCCGCGGCUGCCACCUCGAAGCGCGGCGGAGGAGCCGGGGCACCACGGGCGGCGGCAGCGGCAGCGGCAGCAGCGGCGACGGGAGCAGCAGCACAUGACUCUGUAACGAGGGGAAUUAGACAAAGCGUAACAUGGACUCCGGGCCCGUGCAGGCGCUGCAGCUCUGGGACCAACCGCAGCCGGCGAGUGCCGCGACUGGCCCGGCCGCAGCCAAUGGGGCGGGCCCGGGCCUCCAUGUGAUUGCGAGCGCUUUCUCCGGUGGCCCUGCAGCGCCUGACCGGACGGGGUCUGUGUGGCGAGGGAGGGGACCCGGGGUUGGAGACUGGCGGCGAGCGACUGCUAGAUGCGGAGCAGGUGCUUGGGAGGGGAAGAACGGCAGCCUACAUAACCAUCGCCGUAAUGCUCUCGCAAGCGUCCACCUGGGCAGGGCUCGGUGCCGGGCAGGCGCAGCUGCCAGUUAGCUGCGAGGCAUGGUCAGGAGCCUUCACCCGUCCUGGGCGAAGGAGGCUGUCCCGUCGACUAAAACUCUGAUAUUAAGACUUGGCGCUGGGGGUGGGGAGUUGAAUUACGUUAAAAAGUCACUUAAGUGCCUUCCAACUCUAAGGAGAAGUACUUAUCUGAGCUUUGGGGCACACACAACUACUACUUGGCAUGGAGAGUUUCUCAGCUUCAUGUGUUCCGUCUGUUAUUGAAGCUGUAUUGGAAAGUCGGUUCUUGUUUUUAUCUGAGCCCGCCGUUUUCAUCCCAUUCUUUUCGUCAAAAAUAUGUUACAUCUGAAAGAGGCAGAUGAAAAGAUUAUUCUAUGCUAAGAGGGUUUUGCAGCCCGAUAAUGUCACCGUUUUUUGUUGUUGUUGUUGUAGGAUCGGGGUUCAUUUGCAGUCUUUUUUGUGGGUGAGCAGAGGCAGGGGCCAAUAAAUAAAUUAAGGCGGGAUAUUUGGAGUUAUUUGGUUGUAAUAAAAUAUGUGGUUCAACCCAGUGCUUUCAUAUCUUCUUUUAUCUGAAUCCAUGUGUUUCUGUAAACCAUCGGAAGUCUAAUCUGUCUUCUACCAAUAUCUCUCCAUGUCAGCAAAUGUUCAAUCAACGUUUACCCAGCAUCUAAAUAUUCUUAAUAAGCAUGCUGCACAAAUGUUACAGGUACUCAGGAAGGUGUCGGUUCAGAGACAGUGAGACAUUAAAGAGAAUGAUUGUCCAGGGUUUCAGAAAAGGAUUCAGAGAGGAGCUGAUAGAAUUGACCCUUGGAUGGUGAGCACUUGGCCCUCAGGCAUUGGACGUGAAGAAGAGCAGCCCAAACAGGAACAUGAACAGAGAGGUCCAGAAUACACUCAAGGGACUGCCCGAGACCCGUUACAAGAUGCCACCAGAUUCUGAGCCCUCGGCCCUUUUGCUCUCACUUUCCUUCCCCGACCCUCCUUGCCAGCAGCCACUCCUGUUCCACACACUGCCAAGAAGGAGGUGUAUGGGCAGGGAGUGUGUGUAAGUGAUCUAAUCAGUGUCAGAUUUGCUGAUCUAAGAGAUGAGAGGUCUUUUAAAACUUAACAACUAGU